GCGGAUAGAUGUCCGCUGGGAUGUAGCCGUAUAGGCUGAACCGAAAA
ncrna:unclassified sequences eL15-Euryarchaeota ribosomal protein leader